CGAUAAAUAGUUUAACAAAAUACUAAUUUCGGAAAUUAACGUCAAAGACCUCUCUUUUUUAUCGA
rnacentral:tRNA from 1 species